GACGAACGCUGGCGGCGUGCUUAACACAUGCAAGUCGAACGGAAAGGCCCUGCUUUUGUGGGGUGCUCGAGUGGCGAACGGGUGAGUAACACGUGAGUAACCUGCCCUUGACUUUGGGAUAACUUCAGGAAACUGGGGCUAAUACCGGAUAGGAGCUCCUGCUGCAUGGUGGGGGUUGGAAAGUUUCGGCGGUUGGGGAUGGACUCGCGGCUUAUCAGCUUGUUGGUGGGGUAGUGGCUUACCAAGGCGUUGACGGGUCGCCGGCCUGAGAGGGUGACCGGCCACAGUGGGACUGGGAAACGGCCAAGAGGGCUACUGGAGGCAUCAGUGGGAAAUAUUGCACAAUGGGCGGAAGCCGGAUACAGCAACGCCGCGUGGGGGAUGACGGCUUUCGGGGAGUAAACCGCUUGCGCCUGUGACGAAGCGUCAGUGACGGUAAUGUAUAAAGAAGCACCGGCUAACUACGUG
rnacentral:rRNA from 1 species